rnacentral:rRNA from 1 species
UCUUAGUGGCGGACGGGUGAGUAACGCGUGAGUAACCUGCCUUAUACAGGGGGAUAACACUUAGAAAUAGGUGCUAAUACCGCAUAAGCGCACGGGGCUGCAUGGCCCAGUGCGAAAAACUCCGGUGGUAUAAGAUGGACCCGCGUCUGAUUAGCUUGUUGGCGGGGUAACGGCCCACCAAGGCGACGAUCAGUAGCCGGCCUGAGAGGGUGGACGGCCACAUUGGGACUGAGACACGGCCCAAACUCCUACGGAAGGCAGCAG